AUAGUACCUAAAGCAGUGCUUUCUUACCAAGUGCAUACCAAUAAGCAUUCCAAUACGUAAGAAUACAUGGCUCAAUCAAAUGCUUUCAAAUGUAGAUUGUCAACUCAUUCUGCCAUUUAAAAAUAUUCUGCUAAAAUUUUUAUUUUCCUCUAUUCAGGUGCUCCAAAGAAUCUGAGGAUAAAAACGUUUGAGUUACUGUAAUAAGAAGUGGAACAGGAUUUUAUUUUUUUCUCUCUCUGAGUUGUGCCAGGAAAACUAGUUCGACCUCAAGAGUUGAAAAGGUAGACCGAGAUCUGAGUAAGACUAAUGUGUGUGUGUGUGUGUGUGUACAUAUAUAUAUAUUUAACAAUCCUCUCUUUCUCUUUCUCUCUCUCAAAUAUUAAUUAAAUAUAUAUUGUAUUUCAGGCAGAUCCUUACACACAGACUAGAAAGAACAGAAGCCUAAGAACAAAUAAUUAAAGAAUAAUGCAAUAGUGUAUGAGCUAUAUUGACUAUUUAAAUAUAUUCAGCAGACUGUUUAAAUAUAUUUAAUCGUCAUGUGAUAAUCUCCACAAACUUUAGCCUAUUUGCAAGGACGUUAGAAGGUCUCAGUUCAAGGAUCUUACAACCCCUACUAGUGACCUCAGGACACUGAUGCUAUACAGAUUUAGAAUAAAGAAAUUUGUUGCCAUCACAACUGUUUCCUAUAUUUGCAGUCCUCAAUUGUUGCUCUAACUAGUGGAUUGUAGAAUAAAUCACUGUUAAAUUAUAUUUAAAACCUUGUAUCUUAUUACUAAUGCACCUUGGAAACUAUGAUUAAAUUGUGUUGAAAGUGAAACUAGAAUCUUGAGGACUAGGAUGCUGUAAUCAUCA
rnacentral:lncRNA from 1 species